AUACGUAGGUGGCGAGCGUUGUCCGGAUUUACUGGGUGUAAAGGGUGCGUAGGCGGGGCAGCAAGUUGGAUGUGAAAUCCUCGGGCUCCACUCGAGAACUGCAUUCAAAACUGUUGCUCUUGAGUGCAGUAGAGGCAAGCGGAAUUCCCGGUGUAGCGGUGAAAUGCGCAGAGAUCGGGAGGAACACCAGUGGCGAAGGCGGCUUGCUGGGCUGUUACUGACGCUGAGGCACGAAAGCAUGGGGAUCAAACAGGAUUAGAUACCCUGGUAGUCCACGCAGUAAACGAUGAUAACUAACCGCUGGUGCGCAAGUAUCAGUGGCCAAGCGAAAGCGAUAAGUUAUCCACCUGGGGAGUACGACCGCAAGGUUGAAACUCAAAUGAAUUGGCGGGG
rnacentral:rRNA from 1 species